rnacentral:lncRNA from 1 species
AAAAGAAAAUAGAGCCAAGAGUCCUUCAGUGUUUCCACCUUGGCCAAACGGCCUGAACUGCAAUACCCGAGGUUGCUUGGAUGGAGCCACUCUCCAAAUCAACAAGCACCUGGCACCAUCUGGAGCAACUAAAGGACCUGGCAAGGACAGACAGGGCUUCCACAGGAGGACAUUUCAAAGCCCAAGCUUAAAGAUCAGCUGGAAUUGGAAGCAGAGAAUGCAUUGAUGUUCAGAGUUUAAUCAAGCUCAGCACGAGACAUGGCACAAAACCAGCUGCUUCUGACUUACAUGAUUCAAAAUCUACAGGGUGUCUACAAGGUGCUUCCCAGGCCAGCAUAACUGAGACCAAGAGUUUUGAAAUCAUCCUCCUCCAGGAGCCGCAGUCCACGUCACGUUUCUUAGCUCUUCAUGAAUGGCUUCCAGAUGCCUGGGCAGGGCUAUGUGAAGAGGUUUGUAAUCAGGAGACCCAAAUAGUAGGGUCACAAGGUGCCCUGUGAAAAGGCAUUGUAUAUCAUACACACCAUCUCUUCCUGCCUCAUUACUUCUCUUCCAGCCAAAGCCGCCAAAUAUUAGGCCCCUUUUUAAACACUCAUCUGUCUCCAUAUAAAAACUGUUGAUUACUGCAUCUUCUACAUUACACCUCAAAUUCACAAAUAGCUUUAUAUACAACCUUGUUCUUCCUGUACCAUGUGUUUGAUUUUGAUCUAAAACGCCUACUAUUGCCUGGGCCAUUCCUGAUAUGUGCUGAAAUGAGAACACCCUCUGUUUAUUCAGUCUUACCCAGUUCCUUAUACCUCACUUGUAGCAAGUCAUAAAACACAGGCUGAGACAUGAAAACGUUGUAACACUGGUGUCGUGGUUUGGUUUCCCCUUUAAAAUCCACUUUUAACUAUUCCUCAUCUUCCUUUUGCUACUCAGAGUAACCAUAUUUAGGGCUACCCCUCAUUCUUUGCAACCUGCUCUGAGUUUUGCUCUCUGCCAGUUUAAUGAACUUCUCACCUCUCGCGCUCAUCACUACUUUUCCCCACAAGAACCUCAACAUCAUUCAUAUAUUUUUACUGAAAUCAUCCUUGAAGUUGAAUCCUUUCUCUGUUACAGGAUCAGGGAGUUAAGACUUGAUUUUUAAACAUGAUCUGGGUAACAUAAAUGUUCAAAUUAAAAAGAAAAAUUUGGCUAACUAUUUAAAGCAGUGUUAGCGUCAUCAAAUGUAAUGAAGUAAUCACAGGAAUUGAUUUAAAGGAAUUAAUUCCUGUAAAAAAGAUGGAAAUAUACAAGAAAUAAACACCAUUUCUACAUUAAAAAGGUCA